rnacentral:rRNA from 1 species
UAAUUGAAGAGUUUGAUCAUGGCUCAGAUUGAACGCUGGCGGCAGGCCUAACACAUGCAAGUCGAGCGGCAGCACAGAGGAACUUGUUCCUUGGGUGGCGAGCGGCGGACGGGUGAGUAAUGCCUGGGAAAUUGCCCGGUAGAGGGGGAUAACCAUUGGAAACGAUGGCUAAUACCGCAUAACCUCGCAAGAGCAAAGCAGGGGACCUUCGGGCCUUGCGCUACCGGAUAUGCCCAGGUGGGAUUAGCUAGUUGGUGAGGUAAGGGCUCACCAAGGCGACGAUCCCUAGCUGGUCUGAGAGGAUGAUCAGCCACACUGGAACUGAGACACGGUCCAGACUCCUACGGGAGGCAGCAGUGGGGAAUAUUGCACAAUGGGCGCAAGCCUGAUGCAGCCAUGCCGCGUGUAUGAAGAAGGCCUUCGGGUUGUAAAGUACUUUCA